rnacentral:rRNA from 1 species
UAACUUUCAACAACGGAUCUCUAGGCUCUUGCAUCGAUGAAGAACGCAGUGAAAUGCGAUAGGUAAUGUGAAUUGCAGAAUUCCGUGAAUCAUCAAAUCUUUGAACGCAAAUUGCACUCUCUGGUAUUCCGGGGAGUAUGCUUGCUUGAGGGUUAGUU